rnacentral:lncRNA from 1 species
GGUGGGUGGGCUGGUGCAUUACUUGUGUUAUGAACAUGACUAGUAGGUGUAUCAUCAAAUCUGGUGCUUCCGUUUCAUCAUCAUCGUCAUCAUCCUCAUUUUCCUCUAAGAUAGGUUCAUUAGGAUAAAGAGCAUUCAUAAUUUCAUCAUCUAAUCUACCACAUACUGCAACAUCACGUAGAAAUUGACUAUCGGUAAAUUAAAAAUAAGGGUGAUUACUAUCAAGCAUUAGGGGAGGCGGAGGAGGACGUCUAGGUUGGCGACUACUUUCAACUUACUUAUCUUUUGUAGGUCAAGGAGCCGGGGGAAGGGUAGUAUUAUGGCCACUACUUUCACCGGUUUUACCUUUUCCUUUACUGNNN